rnacentral:tRNA from 3 species
GGGCGAGUAGCUCAAUCGGAUAGAGCACGAGCCUUCUAAGCUCGGGGUUGCAGGUUCGAUCCCUGCCUCGCCUACCA